rnacentral:rRNA from 1 species
AUUGAACGCUGGCGGAAUGCUUUACACAUGCAAGUCGAACGGCAGCACGGGUGCUUGCACCUGGUGGCGAGUGGCGAACGGGUGAGUAACAUAUCGGAACGUGCCCAGUAAUGGGGGAUAACUAGCCGAAAGGUUGGCUAAUACCGCAUACGCCCUGAGGGGGAAAGCGGGGGAUCGAAAGACCUCGCGUUAUUGGAGCGGCCGAUAUCUGAUUAGCUAGUUGGUGGGGUAAAGGCCCACCAAGGCGACGAUCAGUAGCUGGUCUGAGAGGAUGAUCAACCACACUGGGACUGAGACACGGUCCAGACUCCUACGGGAGGCAGCAGUGGGGAAUAUUGGACAAUGGGGGCAACCCUGAUCCAGCAAUGCCGCGUGUGUGAAGAAGGCCUUCGGGUUGUAAAGCACUUUUGGCAGGAGGAAGGUAUGGAGUUUAAGAGACACCAUAUUUGACUGUACCUGCAGAAUAAGCACCGGCUAACUCUGUGCCAGCCGCCGCAGUAA